GUUAAAAAUAAAUGAAUCCUUUGCAUGAUGUUGCAGAAGCAAGGGGAACCAGGUUUGCUAAAGUAAUUGUGGGAAUAGUAAUGUUUUAGCUUCAGGGACUACUGAGGUGGCUCAUUCUUUCCUACUACAGUA
rnacentral:snoRNA from 1 species